CAGUACUUGUGGACCCGGAAGCGAUCGACGGAUUGCACAAUUUAUUGAAAAUCAUAUAUAUGUAGUCGUCGAAGCUGGAGCCUCGUGUAUUGAAUGCACUGAUUGAAGAUUGAAGAGUUGUUUCAGAAGGCAAUGGAUAACGAAGAAAGCUCAUCAUCGUCAUCAGCUGUGAAGCAAGUCGUGCGUAAAACACUUAUCAUUGAGAACAUCGGCAUGGCAACAACAGCUGAUGAUUUGACUCGCUGCUUUGCCCCGGCACUACAGAAGUGUGGUAAGGACCGCCCCGUUAUACAACUAGCUAUUGACAAGAAGGGCCGGUCCCUGGGGUACGCAACCGUCACAGUCCCCCUCAGCACGGUGGAGCUGUUCCUGGACUUCAACGAUAGGUACAUCAACAACGACAAGGUCCGAGUGAUGAUGGGUGAUAAGCGGGUUGGCACUUGGCAGUCACAGGGGAAUGGCGUGUUCAUGUCGUCACCGGCGAGAAGGUCGACAGCCGACACCGUCACCUGCAACACCACCUUCGUCCACAGCCUCAUCGAUGGUGGAAUGUAUCUGAGACACAAGAAGUUUAAGGUUCCCGAUCAUGUUAUUGCAGCAGCGCUCACAGACGGUACAGACAAACUGGUGUCCCUUGGAAAGUCUGUCUUUGAGAGCCAGGAGACCCUUAAACUCAGCCGACUAUUCUCUGGGGCAGUCUAUUGUACAGCAGGUGUCAGCCCACGGAACGCUGUGUUCUGGACCGAUGAAACCUCACACCAACUGGAGGAGAUCACCAAGAGCCCUGGCUGCGUUGCCAUUGGUCAGUGCGGGUAUGACCUGAGUACAGACAAGCUGGUGGACACAGCUGUACCCCAGCUGCAGGCGUUUGAAGCACAGAUUCAGCUGGCUAUCCGGCUCAGCAUGCCACUUGUUGUGUGUGAGAACAAGGCCAAGUCGGAGGUGAUGGCGCUGCUCACCUCAUACAAGGACAAGUUGCCUCGGGUCGCAAUCCUUGCCACCCCAGCCAGCCAAGACGACAUCACAGACUAUCUGGAUCAUGGUUUUUACUUUUUCAUAACUGGUGACAUGUGGAAGCCAGGGUCAAGCAGCCCUGUCUGGAGUUGGCUCCUUGACUGUACGGCAGAGCAGCUGACCAGAGUGAUAUUGUCCAGCCAGAUGCCUAUGACGGGAUGCCAGACAAGCCUGUCCUCCCUGGCUGAGGCCGUCGCUACAAAGACGGGGAAAGAACUAGAAGAUGUGCGGAGAAUCCUGAGAGACAACACCAUGAGGUUUUAUGGUCUGUCUGAAGUGGAAUCACAGGGAGAAGAGAGUGGCAUAGAUAUCGGGUGUAGCGUUGAUCAAACAGUGAAUGUGGAAACCAACUGGACCUAUAGGAUUCUGUUGUGGUUGGCUUUUGUUAGUGGACUGGCAGCGAUGUACUUCUAUGGCAACUGAGCAGGUCUUGUGUAACAGGUUCCAAGGCUGGUUCCAUAGUGACCACUGAGCAGGUCUUGUGUAACAUGUUCCAGUACAGUGGCCACUGAGCAGGUCUUGUGUUACAUGUUCCAGUAUAGUGACCACUGAGCAGGUCUUGUGUAACAUGUUCCAAGGCUGGUUCCAGUAUGGUGGCCACUGAGCAGGUCUUGUGUACAGGUUCCAGUAUGGUGGCCACUGAGCAGGUCUUGUGUACAGGUUCCAGUAUGGUGCCACUGAGCAAGUCUUGUGUACACGUUCCAGUAUGGUGGCCACUGAGCAGUUCUUGUGUACAGGUUCCAGUAUGGUGCCACUGAGCAGGUCUUGUGUACAGGUUCCAGUAUGGUGGCCACUGAGCAGGUCUUGUGUACAGGUUCCAGUAUGGUGCCACUGAGCAGGUCUUGUGUACAGGUUCCAAUAUGGUGCCACUGAGCGGGUCUUGUGUACAGCUUCCAGUAUGGUGGCUACUGAGCGGGUCUUGUGUACAGGUUCCAGUAUGGUGCCAUGGAGCAGGUCUUGUGUACCAGGUUCAAAGGCUGGUUCCGGUGUGGUGGGCUUGGUGUGUGUGAUUCCCGAAAUCAGUUGACACUUUACAAAGAGACUUUAAUAAUUUGAGUACAUUAUCUUGAUUCAAUAAAGAAAAAUAAACAGUAAA
rnacentral:misc_RNA from 1 species